UACGUAGGGUGCAAGCGUUGUCCGGAAUUAUUGGGCGUAAAGAGCUCGUAGGCGGUUUGUCGCGUCUGCUGUGAAAACCCGAGGCUCAACCUCGGGCCUGCAGUGGGUACGGGCAGACUAGAGUGCGGUAGGGGAGAUUGGAAUUCCUGGUGUAGCGGUGGAAUGCGCAGAUAUCAGGAGGAACACCAAUGGCGAAGGCAGCCCCCUGGGCUGACACUGACGCUCAGGCACGAAAGCGUGGGGAGCAAACAGG
rnacentral:rRNA from 1 species